UUUAGGGUACAUCAGUAAAAUGUUUUAUUUUGGGCAUAGCUACAUGAAGGGGGCAUCAAAGUGGCUCAAAGAGCAAAGAGAUUUCUAGGGGACAACAGGGUUUUUGGGGCCACUUUUCACGUUUUUUUGUAUCUCAAAAUUAACACUGGGCUCACAAAUGGGUCUUGGGGUCUUAGAACAGGAAUUAAGGGGAGCAAUUGGAUGGUGUCAUCAGCCUCAGGAUGACGGAUAGCUUGAGUUGGACACUGAAGGACCUGGGGGAGGGAGGAAAGCUAAAGGGCAGUGGCCAUGGGUAUGCAACAUUUGGGUGAGGGUAUGCAGGGGAAGGGGUGGGGAGCCAGGGCGAGUUCGUCCAAUCCGGAAAUCUGAGAAACACAUUCCAGCUUGAGUCUUUGGCUGGCCAAACAAUCGGGGAGCGGAAUUUCUGGGUGGUGUGGAGGCACGCUGAUGCAGCCAAUCUGAGGUUCUUUCUCCUUGGUCACAAAUGGGAGCAGCAGCACAGGACAAGAAGAGAGGUGUUUGGUUCCAGGGGAUGAUGAUUUUCUUUUGAAGUGUGAUUUAGAGCUCCAUGUCUGAUGGUCUGAUGGCGGAUGGCAAUGUUGAUGGGCAACAGGAUCUGGGAAGAACUCUUCCAGUAUGAUUGAAGGGUACUUUUCUCACUGAUGUGCCCAGUCUACCAGUUGGAAGUUGUGACAAGGAAAAGGUGCCAGGUGAUCGGGGAAGAAAUUCUGAUACCUGAUGGUGAACAGACUUAAUAUAUUUCAUUAGUAUUUGAACAUAAUUAAUGGUCUCAUCUGUCAAUUAAAGACCUUUUUGGUAGGGGAUGUCUAUAGGAGUUCCAGGGUAUUAUGGCAUGCUUUUCUGCUUAAUAAAUGUUUGUUAACUGAAUGAUAAUUCAAAAGGAUCUCAAAAAGUAAGGGAUUUAUCAAGUCACUUAUAUCCAAUCUCAUAUAAAUCUUAACUAUAUUAUUUUAUAAGGGUUAUAUUAUAGUGCCUCUGAAACUCAGGGUGGUCCUAGAAGUGAGAAUAUAACUGAAAAGAAAAAGUAUGAAAAUUUCUCUUACAAUUUCUUCUUUAUAAUGAGUGUCUCUACCCACGCAGGCAGAUGAAGGGGAAUAGGAAAUCUUAGUACUGCUGAUCCAAUUCUAUCUUUUCAGGAGGGAUUGGUGGAGAUGGGAUCGGGAAGGUUAUAUCUGGAAAUGGAGGAGAUUUUAAAAAAUGAAAGGGAGGUAAGAGAAAUAAGGAUAAGUCCCAGAUAACCAUUAUGAAGUGAGAGACUAGAUGGGUCAAGGUAAUUCUACAGAGGUGAGGCUUCCAAGGUUACUCACCCUAUAAAUCCUAGCCCCGUCAAUUCUGUCCGGGGCAAUGACUGAUAAUUAACUUCAGACAGGAGAAGCAGGAGGGGGUCCAAAGAGUCUGCAGAUGCUCUACUUUCGCUCUGGUGGCCAGGUGUCAAGAAGCAGGAGGGCCGAAUAUCUACUGAGUUUAAGCAACUUAUGGUGCAGAAUUGACUACAUGAUGGCAACAGUGGAGUUCAGGAAGAAUAGGUAAGAUUCAGGGAAGAGACAUGGGAAAAUUCUUGGGAACUGAUACAGAAGGAAGGAAGAAGAACCAAUGACAACCACCAUGUCAAUGGAAAGUCCCCAAAGUGAAAGUGACUGCAUUGUCUUUGUAAUGACCAAAGAUCUUGAAGAAUUGAGAAAAGUCACGUCUGUUCUUUCCAUGUAGAUGGGAAUGUAGAUGUAGAUGGUCUGAAUGUGAAAUGUUACACAUUCAGGCUGAUUUGGUGGAUGUAUUGGUUGGUUUUUACUGAAGUGCCUUCCUUCAUUUAUUUUCUAAUUCUUUGUACUAAAGGAUAGCUUACUUUGGAAGUGAUGGGGAUGGGUAUAUUUGAAAAUGAGGGUGAUGUGAAAACAAAAAAGCAAGCUAUGAGAUAAAGCCAUGGAAAGAAGCAUGGGUGGGUAUUGUACAAAAGGGCAAAUUCUAACCAGGUGGCGAGAGAGUGAUGAGAACCUGGAUAGGUCAGAGACUGGGUCCUGGCUGGUUCUGGAAGGGUGAGGUUUGUUUGAUUUACUCACCCUCCAAACAUCAACCAGGGCAGCUCUUCCCCAGAGCCAGUUCCGGCGAGGAGUAGCCUAUCAUCUCAUCACUCUGGGAUGGGAGAGAAGGCUGGGAAAGUGGAGGGUCCUGGUCCGUCGUCCUGGAUUCAAAUGGCAGGUCUGUUGGCAGGGUGGAUAACAAUGGCUAGGCCCUAGCCUGUGUGUCAGAGGGAGUUGAGAGACUGGAUGGGUUUGAGUCUGUUGCCUGCUGAGUUAUAGAGGGGUGAGGUUUGCUUAUAUUACUCACCCUCUAAACACCAGCCAGGGCAGCUCUGCCCCAGAGCCAGCUCCAAAUGGUUAUGGACUUAACUACACACGGGAGGGGACCAUGGGCUCUAGAGGGUCUCUACUUUUGGUCCAGGGGUCUGAUGUCAAGAAAUGGGAGGUUGGGUGAGGAAGAGAGGUAAAAGGAGUAUCCCAGGUUCUGUCUUCGUGUUCAGAAGUAGGUCCUGGAGACUGGAUGAGUCAGAGUCUGAGUCCUAGCUGUAUUGGGAGGGGUGAGGCUUGCUUGAUUUACUCACCCUCCAAACAUCAGCCAUGGCAGCUCUGCCUCAGAGCCAGCUCCAAUGAGGAAUCAAUGAUCUCCAAAGGGGAUGAGACCAUGGACCCUUGAGAGUGUCCAGUUUUGGUCCGAUGACCAGGUGUUAAGGAGUGGUGAAUAGGGACAUAAAUUGGGAAGUGGUUCAACAUAUUGUGAAACAAGAAUGGAGACCAUGAUUACUGUUACAUAAAGUCAUUUGCCCAGGAAGGAUGGAGGGAAGUAGGGGAAAACUGAUAGGAAGUUAUGAAGAGAGAUGGGCAGCAACAAAGAAAAACGUUACCAAGUUCCUCCAAAAUAGUGAAUGAAAAGUAGCAAAAAGAAAAAGUGAAGGGUUUAUAAUGAUAAUAAAUGUGGAAUUAGAUCCUAAAGAAGAAUUAAGAAAGCAUAUUUGCUUCCUCACUUUGCAAUGAGUGAGACUAUAAGUGUGGAAUAUUGCAUACAGAUUUAAAUUCAAAUUCAAAUUAUGUGGCAUUUAGUUUUGAAAGAGUACCUUUCUGAAUUUGGUUCUCUGAGCAGGGAAUGACUAAGAAAGGUGUAUGUUUCAGUGAUGGUAAUUUAGAAACAUACUUGAGGGAAAAAAAACUCUGGUAAAGAAUCAAGGAUGACCCUCAGAAAAAAAUGGCAAGUUCCAAGAGCUGUUAGGCAAAGGUAAAGACUGGCUGAGUAUGUCUAAGCUGGGCUAGGUCUAGACAUGAGAAGUUUCCACCCUCCAAACAUCAGCCAGGUUAGCUCUUCCCCUAGCCCAUCUCCAAAAGUGAGUCAAUACAAAACUCAGAGGGGUGAGAGAAGGGGAAAAGAGGUUGCUAUGGAUUCUAUAAAGCCUCUCCUUACGGUCUAAAGGGCUCGUGACAUGAAAUAAAUGGAAAGUCCUAGGUUCUAGCUUGAUGAUCAGAUGUAGGGCUGGGCUCUGUCUAGUUGUAGAAGGGUGACAUGUUACUAAAUGAGUUACUCUGCAGUGUCGGGCAAGGCAGCUUUGACCCAGAGUCAAGUUAAUUUAGGACAUCAUUAUCUCCACAAGGGAAAUGGGACAUGGACUCUGAAGAGAUUUGCACUCCUUCUUUUAAGUCCAGUGCCCUAAUGUUAAGAAGAUGGGGAGGAAAGACCUUGGUCAUAUCCUAAUUAUCAGAAGUAGGGUCCAGGGACUGAAUGGAUGAGAGUCUGGGACCUGGCUGGAUUUGGAGGGCUGAGUUUUGUUGUUGAUCUAGAAAAGCUCUCCUUUGUACCAGUGGCAGGUCAUCUAGAAACUGCUGUGGAUGGGACAUUGGUGGAAUUAAUUACAUGAUUAUGGCAGUAGAUUCUGAGAGGGAUUCCAAGGAUUUAGGGAGGAGGAAUGGGAAGCUUCUUAGGAACUUUUGCAGAGGGAAGGAAGGAGAACCACUAAAACAUGUAUCCAGUGACUACCACAAUGUCAAUGAAAAUCCCUUCAAAGUGAAAGCGAGCACAUUGUCAUUGUGAUAACAAAGGAUCCUGUUCCUCCAGACAAGUUGAGAAAAGUAACUCCUAUCAACAUGUAGAUGUUGAGGUACUCUAAGUAUGCAAUGUUAUAUAUGCAGGUUAACUUAAUGAGUUAGUUGCGUAUUUAGCUUUUUGUUUUGUCAACUCUUUUCUAAUUCUUUGUGCUAAUGGAUGGCUUACUUUGGAAAUGAAGGUGAUGGAAAAAUAAAAGCUAUGGUGAAAAUUGUAAAGAUAAAGUAAUCAAAAGAAGCUGGGAUGGACAAUGUCAAAAAAAAAAAAAAGGCAAGUUCUAGGACCUUGUCAGUGGUGAGGAAAGCCUGGAUGGGUCAGAGGCUGGGUCCUGGCUGGUUCUGGAAGGGUGAGGUUUGUUUGAUUUACUCACCCUCCAAACAUCAGCCAGAGCAGCUCUUCCCCAGAGCCAGUUCUGGCGAGGAAUAGCCUAUUUCAUUCUGGGAUUGGAGAAGGGGUCUCUCUGGCCCUGGUGUGGGAUCCUGGAUACGGGUGGCAGGUCUCUCAGCAGGGUGGAAAGCAGAGGCCUGGUCCUUACUUGUGGUUCAGAGGGAGAGUUAAGAAGCUGGAUGGGUUUGAGUCUGUUGCCUGCUGUGCUAUAGAGGGGUGAGGCUUACUUAUUUUACUCACCCUCCAAACAUCAGCCAGGUCAGCUCUGCCCCAAGGCCAGCUCCAAAAAGCUAGGAAUUUGCUACACAUAGGAGGGGACCACCGACUCUUGAGGGUCCCUGCUUUUGGUCCAGUGACCUGAUGUCAAGAAGUGAAGGGUUGGGUGAGGAGAAGAAGCAAAGGGAGAAUCCCAGAUUCUAUCUUCAGGUUCAGAAGUAGGUCCUGGAGACUGGCCGGGUCAGAGUCUGGAACCUGGAUGUAUUGGGAGGGGUGAGACUUGCUUGAUCUACUCACCCUCCAAACACCUGCCAGGGCAGCUCUGCCUCAGGGCCAACUCCAAAUGAUUAUGAAUUCUUUACACAUAGAAAGAUGUCAUGAACUCUGGAGGGUGUCUACUUUUGGUCCAGUGGCCUGGGAUCAAGAAGCAGGAGUUGAAGUAUCAGGAUAGCAGAAGAAUCCUAGAUUCUAGUCUGAUGAUCAGAAGUAGGUCCCAAGGACUGGAUGGGUCAGAGACUGGGUCUUGGCUGCAUCGGGAGGGGUGAGGCUUUUUUAUAUACUCACCCUCCAAACAUCAGCCAGGGCAGCUCUGCCUCAGAGCCAGUUCCAGUGGGGAUUCAAUGAUCUCCAAAAGGGAUGAGACCACGGACUCUGGAGGGACUCUACUUUUAAUCCGGUGGCCAGCUGUCAAGGAGUACCUGGGAGAGGACUUGAUUGGGGAGUAUUUCAAUAUAUUAUGGCACGCAAAUGAAGCGCAUGACUUUUACCAUAUGAGAAAGGAUGCUUAGAGCAAUGAAGGAUGACACGGGAGAACUGAAACAAACCGAUGCAAAGCAACGCACAGAAGAAAAGGACAAGGGUGUAUAUGGCGACUCCAGAAAGGUCAGUGGAAAGCAAUGAAAAAGAAAGUGAAAAGAUUGUAAUGCUGAAGACUAAGGAUCUAGGUCCUGAGGAAUAGUUGUAUUUUUACCUGUGGAGGUGGAAUAUAGUGUAAUGUGGUUGAUGGCAAGUGCCGGUUUUUUGGAAGUGUCAUUUCUGCAUUUCUUUUCCUAAAAGAGCUAGCAGUUACAUAGUGCUUUCACAUUUGCAAAGCUUUGCACAUUCUCUCUUAUAAGGGGCAUUUCUAUGAGCAAGGAAUGAUGAGGAAGGACAUACGUGACAGUGAUUGUGAUACAGGAACAAAGGAUUUCCACCUCUACAACAAAAAAUAUUGUCACAUAAAGACACAGGACGAGCAUUGGGAAAAUGACACAUAUCCUGCUCUGAAGGUCUUAGGCAAAAGGAUAAGGUAAAGACUGGCUGGGUGUAUCUGGGCUAGGUUACUUCUACAGAUGAGGUUUUUUUGAUUAUCUCACCAAAUCAAUGCCAGCCAGGGUAGUUCUUCCCUUGGCUCUGCUCUAAUAGUGAGAUAACAAUCCACACAUCAGAGGGAUGAGGGAAGCUGAGGCAAGGUGGAAGAGGGAGCUGAGCAGGAUUGUUCUGGACUCUGGAAGGCCUCUACUUCUGGGCCAGUGAGCUCAUGAGAAAAGGUAGGUAUUAAUGGUGGUCAGAAAUAGAGCUCAGAUUGUAGAGAAAUGAGGUGUUGUUGAAUAAACCACCAUGUAAUCUUCAGGAAGGACACCUUUGCCCCGGGGGCCAAAUCAAUUUGGGCUAAAUUUGUUCGGCAAGGGAGGGAAAGCUAGGGCUCUGGAGGGACUCACUGUCUCUCAAGUUGACUACACUGCUGUCAAAAAGCAUCAAGGUAAAUGGAAAGAAUCGGCUUCUAUCUUAAUGGUCAGAAGUAAAAUCUAGGGACUGAAAGGUUCUUAGUAUGGGGCCUGGUUGGAUUGGGAAGGGUGAAGUUUAUUAUAGAUUUAUUCAUCAUCUAAAUUUUAAUGUGGGCACCUCUGCCCCAGGAUUAGUUCCCUUGCUCAAUUACCUACAACUGAAGUGGGGCAAGGACUCGGGAGGAGAUAUACUUUGGAUACAGUGGCUAAUAGUCAAGAAAUGGCUGAGGGUAGGAUAUCAAUCGAAAGAAGGCUUAAACAGAUUUAAUAUUAUCAAGAUUAAUUGAAUAAUUGGCAAUGGAUUCUAUUAGGGAGAAAGAAUGGGAAGACACUGUGGAGCUAAUGCAGAAGGAAGGAAGACAGCUAGGAAAAUAAAACGAAUCACUACCACAUCAAGGGAGAUACUUCCCAAAGUAAAAAAAAAGUGAGUACAUUGUUAUUGGAGAUUCUCCAGGAAAGGAGUUGAGAAAAAUUACCUCUGUUCCUUCCAUAUAAAUGUGGGGAGAAUUUGUUGUUCUUGGUGGGGUUUAUAGAACUUCUUUUCAUUAAUUUCUUUUCAGAAUUCAUACUAAGGAAUGACUUACGAUGGAGAUGAUGGUGAUGAGGACGUUCAGAAAUGAAGGUGAUAUAAAAACAAAAGCUGUGAUGAAAAUUGUAAAGAUAAAGCAAUGGAAAGAAACGGGGGUGGAUGGACAGCAUAAAAAAGGGCAAAUUACAGGUUCUAGUCAAGUGGAGAAUGAGAGUGAUGGGAGCUUGGAUGGGUCGGAGUCUGGGUCCUGGCUGGUUCUGGAAGGGUGAGGUUUGUUUGAUUCACUCACACUCCAAACAUCAGCCAGAGCAGCUCUUCCCCAGAGCCAAUUCCAGUGUAGAAUAGCCCAUCUUGUUUUGGGAUUUUUGGAGGAGGUGGGGAAAGUAGAGGGUCUUGGGUCCUGGUCCUGUGUCUUGGAUUCAAGAAGCAGGUCUGUUAUGUAGGUGGACAAUAAUGGCCUAUUCCUUGCCCGUAUGUCAGAAGGAGAGUUGAGAGACUGGAUGGUUUGAGUCUGUUGCCUGCUGUGUUACAGAGGGAUGAGGCUUGCUUGAUUUACUCACCCUCCAAACAUCAGCCAGGGCAGCUCUGCCCCAGAGCCAGCUCCAAAUGGUUUUGAUUCUAUUACACGUAGGCAGAAGACACGGACUCCAGGGGGUCCAUGAUUGGCUUGGUAUCAUGAAACAGAGAGGGAAAAGGGAAAAUCCAGGGAUCUGUCCUGGUGUUUGGAAGUAGAUCCUGGAGACUGGAUGGGUCAGAGUCUGGAUCCUGGCUGUAUUAGGAAGGGUGAGGCUUACUUGAUUUACUCACCCUCCAAACAUCAGCCAUGGCAGCUCUGCCUCAGAGCCAGCUCCAAAUGGUUAUGAAUUCUCUACACAUUGUGGGGGGAGGAAAUCAUUAACUUUGGAGGGUCUUUCUUUUUGAUCCUGUAACAAGAUGUCAAGGUAUAGGGAGAGGGAUAUGGACUGGGGAAUGUCUCGACAAACUCUGGGAAGUGUAUGAUAGCCAUGAUUACUGCAAUAUGAGAAAGGAUGUCAAAAGGCAUGAGGAGACUGAAAUGAAGUGAUUGGGAUACUCAUUGAGAGAGGAAAAGAGCAUAUAUACAAUGAUUCCAAAAACUAUCAAGGGGAAAAUUGAUAAGUAAAACUGCAGGUAAAAAAGAUAAAGAACAAGAAUCAAGGUCAUGGCAGAGAGAUGGGAGAAAGGCCUUACCUAAGUAGAGCAGCAAGACUUUAGUUGGGGGCCAAAGCCAAAACACUCAGAUAGUUUCUAUGAAGAUGAUUGGACACAAAAUGUCUUUUAGUCUUUGAUACAAUGUCUGGCUUCCUGGCUAGGGAAAGGAAGAGUAGGAAUCUAUUUGGAAAUAAAUUUAAUAGCAAAACAAAAGGUUUUAGAAAUAUCGGGAAAUUAGCUAAUAAAGAAGUAAGAUAGGGUAAACAAUAAAUCUCUGGUUUUAUGCUAUUGGCUAACUGUGGAUCCUUGAACUAAGCUAGGUUAAAAAUUGGGUAGUUCUAGAGAAGCAAGGCUACCUUAAUGAACUCAAACCAGAGUAGACCUUCUCAUGGGCCAUUUUCAGUAGCGAAUAAAUUAUAUCCAUAUGGGUACUGUGGUCACAGGAACUUUGGAUAAUAUUUAAUUUUCAUUCAUGGAGCUUCUCUAGAGAAGCAAGACUGAGGUACAUCAAUUGAAGAUUAGUUCAACAAAUUACUGUAAAGAAUAAAAGCAAAGAAUCCAGCAGUAUCAGAAAGAAUAAUUGGGGAAAUGGAAUAUAGCAUAGGAAGACUGAAAGAAACUAAUUCAGAGAGAUGCUCAGCAAGAGAAGAAAAGAUUGUCUAAAGUGAAUUCAAAAAUAUUAAGAGAAAAAAAAACUAAUAGGGAGAUGCAGUGUAAUUGUAAUAAAUAAGGAUCUUAUCCUGAAGGAGAGUUGAGAGAAGGAAUCCAUCUCCUUUGGUGAUAAAAUGGAAAGACAUUGGUUGAAUGCCUAAAUGCUCAGACAAAGCUUAGGUAAGGGUGCACCUGGUGAAAGUGGGGUUUUUGCAUUUCUAGUUUCAUUCUUCCAUAUAAAAGCUGGUUUCCUAGUUAUGGUAUAGCAAAGGUCACAGCGGUAAAUGAAGGUGAUGUCAAAACAAAGAAUAUUAAAAGUAUUUAUGAAAUUUUAGUAUAAAGAAAUAAGGUAAGUGGUGGGGAAAAUACAAUUUUCUGGGUGGUCUGCAGAGUUCCAGGACAUUGGUGUAAAAUAAUUCUGAAAUCGCCAAUCACAACUAAUGUUUCAAUGAGUUUUUUAAACUGCAUAUAAUAUAUUUCUUUUCUUAUCUGAGUCUCUGGCUAUUGGAAAAAUUGGGAGAGAUGAAUUAUAUAUACAUAGAGAGGGAAAUGAAAAUGAUAUUCAAACGUGUUAGAAAUAUCUGGACGCUAUGCUAUAAAGUAACAGGUUUAUCUAUAGGGAAAAUGACAUGAACCUAGACCUCAACUGUUGACAAACUGUGAGUGCUAGAAGACAAGCUGGUCAGAGUUUAACUUGCUGUGGAGAAAGGAGACUACUUUUAUUCUUUCCUGAUAUAUCCAGGGCAGCCCUGCCUCAGGGCCUUUUGAAAUGGGGGAUUCAUUAUAUCCAUACAUGAACUCUGGUCAAAGGAUUUGUCCUCAGUCCUGCACUGAAGAAAGAGGGUUAGAAACACUUGAAUUUGAAGGUGUCUCAUAAUUUGCUGAUAUGUGAAUGAAUCCCAUGUCUUCUGCUCUGUUCUAUGGUACCUGAAUGAAAUACAUGACUUCUGCAAAAUUUUUAAAAAUGCUUUGGAGUAAAUAAAAAAUUGAAAUCAACUAAUAUAGAGGGAUACUACUUAGAAAGGAAAACAUUAUAUAAAAUGACUUGAAAUAUAAUGAGGGGAAGCAUUGAAAAUGAAAUGAAAUGUUAUAACCACUAUCAUGAGCAAUGAUCUUUUCCAAGAGGAAAACUGAGAGAAAAAUGUCAUUGCUUUGAUUAGGUAUGGACUUGUGGGACAUUGGUUGUGGAAUAUUGCCUAAAUGCUAAAAUCAAGCUUUGGUAGAAGUAUAUGGGAUUGAAGUAUCCUUCUUGCACUUGUAGUUUCAUUCUCUGAUAAAACAAGUUAGCUCUCUGGGAAUGUGGUGGUAAAGGAUAUGUUUAUAAAUGAAGGCAAUGUCAAAAGAACGGAUAUAUAUUAAAUAGUGCUGACCUUUUGCUACAACAGAUCAGGGUAAUCAAUGGGCAAAAUGUUUCUGCUUUGGGUGUCUAUAGAGCUCUGGUACACUAGAUGUGGGAAAACUUCUGAGAUUGUCAGCCAUAGUUAUGUGUAGGUAUUUUUUUUGGCAUAUUGUAUAUACUUUUGACAUAGAAUUGAUGUCAGUGAAAGAUAGUAUGGGUUAGUUGAUAGAAAAGCAGUCUGGGAUUCAGGGAAACCUAGUAUCAAGUCCCACUUCUGACACAUAGUAACUGUCAAAUCUUUAAGAUUAAAAAUUAUGAAACACAUGUUGAUUUUCAUGGAAGGAAGUGGGUUACUCACCAGGAGAUACUUGCACCUACAAAAACACAGGUCCAGACCAGAUAGAAAAAUUAAACCAAUAAGAAAUACAUAAUUAAAACAUCUACCAUUGGCUUGCACCCAAGCAGCCUUUUUCCAGAAGCAGAUAAUUCCUAUUCAUUAUAUAAGUUGCCCUGAAAAUAAAAAUUCAUGAAAAGGUUCAAUUUAGGUCAUUAAAUAUCCUCUGUACAUUCUUCCUGCUAACAGACAAUGGGGUGUAGAGAUUACAAUAUUAAAUAACUAAUGUUUGAUCUACACAGUUAAUAUAUCAAAACUUUUGUUGAAGAAUCAGGAGCUCUGAUAGAGAUGUAGAGGAAAUAAAUUUGGGCUCUGGUGGAUUUUGGGGGAAAAUCCCUCGGAAUUAAUGCUUUCCUUUAUUCCUAUUGUCUUGCCAAUCCUAGGGAAUUUUACUUUUCAAAGCAGCUAGAUCUUUUCACAUGAAACAGAGUGAGUUGAUUUAACAUCUGGCCUAGCAAGGCUUACUGCUGCUUCUCUGAAACUCACUUUACUCAUAUAUAAAAUGGAGAUAAUUCCUUCAUUACCUAUUUGACAAAGUUCUUCUCAUGUUCCAUUGAGAAAACUUUUCAAGACAUGUUGCAAACUAAGUAUUUUUAUAACACAGAAUUCAACUUCAUUUUUUCUCCCAAAGGCAUUAUCUUUUAAAAAAAUUUUUUUUGAAUAAUAGCUUUUUAUUUUCAAAACACAUGCAAAGAUCGUUUUAAAUAUUCUAGGUAUUUUAAAUGAGAAUUUAAUGAAUUUUUUUUGGGUUUUUUUUUGAGGUCUGCUGCUCAAGUUAGUGAAGGAAGAUGAGAUAAAUAUCUAUAUCUAUGUAUGUGUAAAUAUAGGCUAUUACAUUUUUUUUACAUUCUGGUAUGAAGAAAUGGAAUAAAGGACAUUAAUGAGUAAAUUGCUAGUGAUUUGGUUGUCUAUGUAGCUUUGGGCCAGUGGAUGUGGAAUAUUUUUUGAAACUGUCAUGUCCUAUGCUCAAUUAAUUUUUGAAGUGCAUUUAAUACAUUUCCUUUUUCAUCUUUUCCUUUUUUGUUGCUGUUGUGAGGCAAGUGAAGUUAAGUAACUUGCCCAGGGUCACACAACUUAAUAAAUGUCAAGAAUCUGAGGCCUUUUUUCAUUUUUUGAUGCAAAUUCGACUUCCCUAGCUAAUGAAAGAAUGUCUAGUGAUACAUUUGGAAAUGGAGAUAGCCAUAUGAUAUGUUAGGAAUGUCUAGAAAUUUGUCAACAUUGUCAAAAUGUCAAAACAAAAGAUGUUAGAAUUAUUUUUGGCAUUCUGAUAGAAAUAAUUACUGGGGAAAUAGCUCUGCUUUGGUUAUCUAGGACACUGGGUAUGGAACAUUUCUGGAAAUGUUAAUCACACUCAUAUAUAGUUUUUUUGGGAAAUGCAUUUAAUAUAUUUAAUUUUUUACUUUUUGAUAAAAUGUCUGCCUCUCUGAGUAGUAAAAGGAUGAGUAAGGAUAUAUUUGGAAAUGAAGAUAAUAGCCAAAUAAAAUAUAUUAGAAACAUGCUGACAUUAUCAAAGAACAGAUUCCUCAGUAGGGAAAAUAACAUGUCCCAAGUCCUCAGCUGGUUGGCCAGUUGUGUAUCCUAGAAACUGAUUUGAGUUAGAAAUGAGCUUAUUUUGGAGAAGUGAGGCUUCUUUCAUGAACUCCUCUUUCCAGUUUCAGAGGGGGCAGUCUGGCCUCAGGAACAUUUCUAAUGGGGGAUUCAAUAUCUCCAAAUAAGGGCUAUGGACUUGCAAAUUUUAGUGUUCCUAAAUUUAGUCCUUAGACUUACACUGGGAUUUGAAAGCAUCUAAUCAUUUAAUAGUCUGUGAAUGAAUACCAUAACUUCUACAAUAUAAGAAAGAAUACUUGGAGAGAUGAAAUGAGACAUGGGAAAACUGAAACAGUGAUGCAGAGGGAUGGUCAUCAAGGCUGAAAAAGCCUGUGUAAAGGGACUUUAAAAAUAUUAAGGAAAUAUGCGAAUAGGUAAAACAAAUACUAUUCAGUUACAAUGUACAAGAGUAGAAAUGAGAGAAGAAAUGCAACCUCUUUGGAUGGUUAUAGAGUUGUGGGGUGUUGGUUGUGAAAUAUUGCCUAAUUGCUCCAACAAAGGUUAGGUGAAGGUGUAUAGGGCUGAAAUGUCUCUCGAGUUUGAAAUUUCAUAUUUGAGAGGAAACUUGCCUUCCAGAGAAUGAGAAGAAGAUCAUAUUUGUGAAUGAAGGUGAUGUCAAAAGAAUGUAUAAGGUUAAGUAUUGUUGACAUUUUGGUAUCACGAAACCAAGCAUCAAUGGGUAAAAUAAUCCCAUGUUGGUUACAUGUAGAAGUCAGGAACACUGGUUUUGAAAUAUUUCAGAAACUAUCAGUCACACCUUAUUUGUAGUUGAAAAGUUUGUUAAGGACUUUUUGUUAUAGUUUCUUUGAGUCAAGUUCUGUCUCUCUGGUUAGUGAAGGGUGAGAAGGCCUGGAUUUGUUUGUCUAAACUUCUAAGAUAUUGAUUGUUGAAUUUUUCUGAAAUUCUCAAUCACAAUUCAUGUUUAUUGAUAUAUAUUUAAGGGUAUUCAAUACAUUUUUUUCAUUCUGUGAUAUGAAGUUUGGUUCUAGGCUGAUGAAAGAAGAGAAGUGAGAUUUUGAAAGUGUAGAGGAUAUCUAAAGAAUAUAUGUCAGAAAUGUAUUGGCAUUAUAAUAUCAAGGACGAGGUUCAUCGGGAUGGAAAAUGAAAUGUUCAUGGUCAUCAGCUCUUUGACAAAUGUAAAUGUUAGGAAACAGAUUGGUUAGAGUAAACUGGCUAUAAAAAAGUGAGGUUUAAUUAAUUCUUCUCAGCUCCAGUCAGAGAAAUUCUACAUGGUCAUUUUUGAUGGGAAUUCAUGAUCUCCAAAUAUGGGCUGUGAUCACAGAGGCUUGAGGUUAUGCCCAAGGUUCAUUCUUGGGCCUGUCUUGGAAAAAGAGCAUUGGAAACAGUUGGAUUCUUUAAAUCAUCUGAUGGUAUGGGAAGGGAUCCCAUGACUUCUGCAAUAUAAGAAAGAAUGGCAGGAUGGAAAAAGGAAUGAAUAGAUCAAAACAAGUUGAUGCAGAGGAAUGCUCAAUGAGAGCAAAAAAGCAUUAUAUACAGUGAUUGCAAAUCUAUGAAUGGAAAAUGGUAAAAGGUGAAACAAAACGCAAUCCAAUUAUAAUGAGCAAGAUGCUUUCCUGGAAGAGAACUAAGAAAAGAGAGGCAAUUAUUUGUCUUGGUUGUACCACUGUGAAAUAUUGCUUAGUUUGAGACAAAGCUUUGAUGUGGUUUCAUUUCACUCAAACAUCUUGUGUUCACUUGUUGAUUCAUACUCUGAUAGGAAUGUAGGCUCCCUGAGGAUAAGAUGGUGAAGGAUAUGUGUGGAAAUGGAGAAGAUGUCAAAAGGAUGGAUAUGAGAAAUAGUGUUGGUUUCCUGUUAUAAGGAAAUGAGGUCAUAGGUGGGCUAGAUGCCCUAGCUGGUUAUCUAUAGAGCUCUGGGACACUGGGUGUGGAAUCUUUCUGAAACUGUCCAAUACAUUGCUAUGUAGAUGAUUUUUUAGAAGUGAGUUUACUACCUUUCUUUGUUUCUUUGCUACAAGUUCUGGUCCCAUGGUUAGUGAAGGAUGGAGAUGGUUUGUAUCAGAAGAUGACACUGAAACAAAGGAUGUUAGUAAAAUUGUUGGUAUUCCAGAAUAAAGAAAGUAGAUCAUGUUUUGAAAAAUGGCUGUGAUUUGGCUAUAGAACUCUGGGGCAUUGAGUGUCUUUCUGAAGGUGUCAGUUACAGCUAAUGUUAACUGAAUUUGUUGAAAAACAUUCACUGAUUUUUUUCUUCCAUCCUGCUAUAUAAGGUCUACUCUCUGGCUAGUGAAAGGAAGAAGAGAGUUACUUUUGAAAAUAUAGGUGGUAUUCAAACAACAGAUGGUGGAAUUAGGUUGACAUUACAAAAUCAAGAAGGAGGUCUAUUGUAUGAAAAAAAAAACCCAUGUCUUUAAUUCUUAGCUCUUUGCUAUAUGUAAGUGCUAGAAAACAAUUUGGUCAGCAUUUAUCUGCUUUUUGAAAUUGCUUACUUUUAUGAAUUUUUUUUCCCAGUCCCAGUCAGGGCAGUACCCCCAGCUGGGCCAUUUGGAAGGGAAAUUCAUUUCCUUAUGGGAUCUGGUCAAAGGGACUUGAGGGAAUGCUAAAGUUUUGUCUUUGUUGGGUCUACUUUAAAGAAAGAGAGUUGAAAGUACUUAAUUCUCACUUAUGAGAGCCUCACAGGCUUGAAGCUAUGUCAAAGGUUCAUUCUUGGCCUGUAUUGGAAAAAGAAGUUUGGAAACACUUGAAUUUGAAAAAUUCUCAUGAUCUGUUGGUAUGGGAAGGGAUCCCAUGACUUUUGCAAUAUAAGAAAGAUGGUGUGGCAGGAUGAAGAGAAGAAUGAGUACACCGGAAAUAGUUGAUGCAGAGGAAUGCUCAGCAAGAGAAAAAAGCAUUGUAUACAGUAACUUCAAACCUAUUAAUGGAAAGUAGUAAAAACAAAAUGCAAUCCAAUUAUACUGAGCAAGGUGCUUUCCUGAAAGAGAAUUGAGAAAAGAAAUGCAAUUACUUGUGCGGGUUGUACCCUGUGGAACAUUCAUUGUGAAAUACUGCUUAAAACUUAAGCCAAAGCUUCAGUGUAGUUGCAUUUCACUGAAGUGUCUUUUGUUCAGUUGUUGAUUUACUCUUUCAUGGGAAUGUAGGCUCCUGGGGACAAAAUAGUGAAAGAUAAGUAUAUAAAUGAAGGUGGUAUCAAAAGGAUGGAUAUGAAAAAUAAUGUUGGCUUCCUGUUAUAAGGAAACGAGGUUAUAAGUGGGCAAGAUGCCCUAGCUGGUUAUCUAUAGAGCUCUGGAACACUGGGUGUGUAAUCUUUCUGAAAUUGUCAAUCACAGCUCAUGUUGAAUUUGUUGAAGUGAAUUCAAUGCAUUUCUUUUUUCAUUCUAUGAUAUGAUUUGCUUCUCUAUCUAGUUAAAGAAAGAUUGUUAUUUCUGAAAAUGUAGCUACUAAACUAAAUUUUUUAAACUAAAUAUCUUAGACUUCUGUUGCCAAUAUUAUAUCAAGAAUAAUGCUCAUUUUUAUGUAAUAUGACAUGUUCAUAGUUCUCAAGUCUUUGUCAUGUGCUAGUGAAAAUAACCUGGUCAGAGUUUAGUUGGUUCUAAGAAGGGAGGUUACUCUCAUGAACUCCUUUUUUAGCUCUAGCCAGAAAGAGUCACCACAGGACUCUUGGCAAGAAAAUAUUUCAAAACAAAAGUGAUAUCAAAGAAUUUUAGAAGUAUUUUUGACAAUAGAGUCCAAAAAAGCAAAUUUAUCAAAUGUGGAAAAUGCCAAUGUUUUUGUUAUCUAUACAGCUCUGGGACUUUUAAAAAUAUAUUUUUCUAUAACUUUUAUAUAUAGGUGCUUUUUUGAAAUUGCCUUGAAAGUGGGUUUUUUUCAUUUUUUGAUACAAAUUGUGACUUUCUGAUUAGUGAAAUAGGUAGCUGAGAUAAUUUGGAAGUGAAAAUGAAAUUAAAAUUAAAAAGGUUACAAAUGCUGAUUACAAUAUUAGAAAAUGGGGUCAUCUAUAGAAAAAUGAGAUGUCUUGCACAGUUUUAGUCAAUAGCUAGAUACUAGAAAUUGAGUUGCUUGAAAAUUAGUUGGUCAUACUUUAAAUUGUUCAAGAGAAUGGAACCGACUUUAAUAAACUCCUUUCCUGACUUCUAGCUGAUAGUAAGACCAUUUGCAAAAGUGAAUUCUGUAUGUGCACAUAUUGGCUACUGUCAUAUGGACUUUGAAGUUCGCAGAAAUUUUGGGCAUAAGACAGUGUUGGGGAAAAAAGCAGGAGUAGCCCUUGGUAUUUAAAUGAAACCCAUUACACAUGAAAUAUGCUUCAGAGGAUAGUGAGAUGCAUGGGAAAAAUGAGAAACUUAUGCAAGGGAUGCUAAGAAAAAAAUAAUGGUGACAUUAAGUAGCAUUUACUGCGUAAAUGCUACUUUGCUAAGAGCUUUACAAAUAUUACCUCUUUGGACUUUCACAAGUCUAGAAUGUAGGUAGUAUUAUUAUCCCCAUUUUGCAGUUGAGGAAAACAAAGUAAAUAAAAAAAAUAAGCAGGCUCAAAAAACUGUGUCUGAGGCUGAAUUGAUUUCAGGCCAACUAUAUCAUUAUGUCUCAUGUCAAUAUGACUCAUAAUUUCUAAAGUAUCAGGAAAACUAGUGAUAAGAAAGAAGUAAAUAAUGUAUAAAAUAAUUCUUAAAAUGUUAAAAAAAAAAAGGGGUGGGGGGAGAAGGAACUAGGUGUCAGAGUGGAUAAAGUACCAGCCCAGGAGUCAGGAGGACCGCAGUUCAAAUCCAGCCUCGAACACUUACUAACUGUGUAAUCCUGAUUGCCUUAAAAAAAUUUAAAAAAGAAUGAAGAGGUGAAAUCGAAUUAUGCAAAGCAUAAAUGCUAUCCUAAAGGAGAGUUGUGAGAAGGAAUACACCUUCUUUCAUAUAUUUUACAAUGGUGGAACUUUGGCUCUUGAAUAAUGCCCAAGUAAAAGCCAGAAAUAAAUGGAUAAAAAAUAGAAAUUGAAAAAUAGGUUGUAUAAAAUUAAAUGAAAACAAUAUGUAAAAUGGAAAAGUGAAGUUUAAUAUAAAAUUAUGCUUUGUUAUUCUUGAGAAGAAUUUUGUGAAGGAAUGUACAUGUUUUGUAAGAUAUAAAGUGAUAUUUCUUAGGUUAUUUGUUCAAGACCAAAUAAUCAGCUAAAAGUCUGAAGAAGGCAAGAUAAACUGAUGGAUCGUUUAAUUAAUUUGUUGACUAUGAAUGAGACUGCAAAUGUUAUAUUUGGAAAUGAAUUUGUUUUGAAAUGAAUAUUCACAGUCAGAUUUACAUCUGAGUAUUAAGAAAUGGGCAUUAUGAAUGGACAAAAUACAGAAAGUUUUUUUUUUUGUUUGAUAUUUGGAUGUUUCACUUUGUGUAUGAAAUAUGAAUAAAACUGGUAGUGUUAACUUACAUAAAAUUAUUUUACUUAACAGAAUGUAGUGAAAUACUUUUUUCAUGUUUAGAUAACAUGUAUGGGUAUCUAGAUAGGCAAAAAUGAGGAAAAGAUUUGAAAUAGAAGACCAAAUUAAAAUAAAAUAUCUUAGAAAUGUGGAGGGAAAAGGAAAUCAAGAAGGAAUCAUCUGUA